CUCUCCUCUCAGAAGCUGCAGCCGUGAUGGAAGUUUGAAUGUUGAGCCGCUGUGAGGCGAGGCCGGGCUCAGGCGAGGGAGAUGAGAGACAGAGACGGCGGCGGCGGCGGCGGCCCGGCCCGGCCCGGCCUGAAGCCCCUCUCAGCAACCCGUGAGCAUCCGCGGGGGCGGCGCCGGCAGCGGCGGCGUUUCUCGCUUCUUCUUCGUCUUUUCUAACUGUGCAGCCUCUUCCUCGGCUUCUCCUGAAAGGGAAGGUGGAAGCCGUGGGCUUGGGCGGGAGCCGGCUGAGGCGCGGCGGCGGCGGCACCUCCCCCUCCUGGAGCGGGGGGAGAAGCGGCGGCGGCGGCGCCCCCGGUGGCCCCGGCGGCUGCAGCUCCAGGGAGGGGGUCUGAGUCGCCUGUCACCAUUUCCAGGGCUGGGAACGCCGGAGAGUUGGUCUCUCCCCUUCUACUGCCUCCAACACGGCGGCGGCGGCGGCGGCGGCGGCGGCACAUGGAGGGACCCGGGCCGGUUUUAAACCUCUCGUCCGCCGCCGCCGCACCCCCCGUGGCCCGGGCUCCGGAGGCCGCUGGAGGAGGCAGCCGUUCGGAGGAUUAUUCGUCUUCUCCCCAUUCCGCUGCCGCCGCUGCCAGGCCUCUGGCUGCUGAGGAGAAGCAGGCCCAGUAGCUGCCACCAUCCAGCAGCUGCUGCCGCAGCCAUUACCCGGCUGCGGUCCAGAGCCAAGCAGCGGCUGAGCGAGGGGCAUCAGCUACCGCCAAGUCCAGAGCCAUUUCCAUCCUGCAGAGCCCCGCCACCAGCAGCUUCUGCCAUCUCUCUCCUCCUUUUUCUUCAGCCACAGGCUCCCAGACAGGACAGCCAUCAUCAAAGAGAUCGUUAGCAGAAACAAAAGGAGAUAUCAAGAGGAUGGAUUCGACUUAGACUUGACCUAUAUUUAUCUAAACAUUAUUGCUAUGGGAUUUCCUGCAGAAAGACUUGAAGGCGUAUACAGGAACAAUAUUGAUGAUGUAGUAAGGUUUUUGGAUUCAAAGCAUAAAAACCAUUACAAGAUACACAAUCUUUGUGCUGAAAGACAUUAUGACACCGCCAAAUCUAAUUACAGAGUUGCGCAAUAUCCUUUUGAAGACCAUAACCCACCACAGCUAGAACUUAUCAAACCCUUUUGUGAAGAUCUUGACCAAUGGCUAAGUGAAGAUGACAAUCAUGUUGCAGCAAUUCACUGUAAAGCUGGAAAGGGACGAACUGGUAUAAUGAUUUAUGCAUAUUUAUUACAUCGGGGCAAAUUUUUAAAGGCACAAGAGGCCCUAGAUUUCUAUGGGGAAGUAAGGACCAGAGACAAAAAGGGAGUAACUAUUCCCAGUCAGAGGCGCUAUGUGUAUUACUAUAGCUACCUGGUAAAGAAUCAUGUGGAUUAUAGACCAGUGGCACUGUUGUUUCACAAGAUGAUGUUUGAAACUAUUCCAAUGUUCAGUGGCGGAACUUGCAAUCCUCAGUUUGUGGUCUGCCAGCUAAAGGUGAAGAUGUAUUCCUCCAAUUCAGGACCCACACGAUGGGAGGACAAGUUCAUGUAUUUUGAGUUCCCUCAGCCGUUACCUGUGUGUGGUGAUAUCAAAGUAGAGUUCUUCCACAAACAGAACAAGAUGCUAAAAAAGGACAAAAUGUUUCACUUUUGGGUAAAUACAUUCUUCAUACCAGGACCAGAGGAAACCUCAGAAAAAGUAGAAAAUGGAAGUCUAUGUGAUCAAGAAAUUGAUAGCAUUUGCAGUAUAGAGCGUGCAGAUAAUGACAAGGAGUAUCUAGUACUUACUUUAACAAAAAAUGAUCUUGACAAAGCAAAUAAAGACAAAGCCAACCGAUACUUUUCUCCAAAUUUUAAGGUGAAGCUGUACUUCACAAAAACAGUAGAGGAGCCGUCAAAUCCAGAGGCUAGCAGUUCAACUUCUGUAACACCAGAUGUUAGUGACAAUGAACCUGAUCAUUAUAGAUAUUCUGACACCACUGACUCUGAUCCAGAGAAUGAACCUUUUGAUGAAGAUCAGCAUACACAAAUUACAAAAGUCUGAAUUUUUUUUUAUCAAGAGGGAUAAAACACCAUGAAAACAAACUUGAAUAAACUGAAAAGGGACCUUUUUUUUUAAUGGCAAUAGGACAUUGUGUCAGAUUACCAGUUAUAGAAACAAUUCUCUUUUCGUGACCAAUCUUGUUUUACCCUAUACAUCCACAGGGUUUUGACACUUGUUGUCCAGUUGAAAAAAGGUUGUGUAGCUGUGUCAUGUAUAUACCUUUUUGUGUCAAAAGGACAUUUAAAAUUCAAUUAGGAUUAAUAAAGAUGGCACUUUCCCAUUUUAUUCCAGUUUUAUAAAAAGUGGAGACAGACUGGUGUGUAUACGUAGGAAUUUUUUCCUUUUGUGUUCUGUCACCAACUGAAGUGGCUAAAGAGCUUUGUGAUAUACUGGUUCACAUCAUACCCCUUUGCACUUGUGGCAACAGAUAAGUUUGCAGUUAGCUAAGAGAAGUUUCUGAAGGGUUUUGCUGCAUUCUUGCAUGUAUUUGGGUUAGGGGAAUGGAGGGAAUGCUCAGAAAGGAAAUAAUUUUAUGCUGGACUCUGGACCAUAUACCAUCUCCAGCUAUUUACACACACCUUUCUUUAGCAUGCUACAGUUAUUAAUCUGGACAUUCGAGGAAUUGGCUGCUGUCACUGCUUGUUGUUUUCGCAUUUUUUUAAAAGCAUAUUGGUGCUAGAAAAGGCAGCUAAAGGAAGUGAAUCUGUAUUGGGGUACAGGAAUGAACCUUCUGCAACAUCUUAAGAUCCACAAAUGAAGGGAUAUAAAAAUAAUGUCAUAGAUAAGAAACACAGCAACAAUGACUUAACCAUAUAAAUGUGGAGGCUAUCAACAAAGAAUGGGCUUGAAACAUUAUAAAAAUUGACAAUGAUUUGUUAAAUAUGUUUUCUUAAUUGUAACGACUUCUCCAUCUCCUGUGUAAUCAAGGCCAGUGCUGAAAGUCAGAUGCUAUUAGUACCUACAUCAGUCAACAACUUACACUUAUUUUACUAGUUUUCAAUCAUAUACCUGCUGUGAAUGCUUCAUGUGCUGCCUGCAAGCUUCUUUUUUCUCAUUAAAUAUAAAAUAUUUUGUAAUGCUAAAAAAAAAAAAAAGAACAUAGAAGACAAACAUCAGAAAUAAACCCAUCCACUAUGGUUAACUCAUUUUUGAAUAUGGUGUAAAGUCAGUUUAAUGAUGAAAUAAUAUUAUUUUCAACAAAUAGUACAGAAAUUAAACUAUGCAAAAAUACUAUUAAUAAUGAUGUUGGAUCAUUACCUCACACCAUACCCCCAAAUUAACUCAGAACAUGGCAUACACCAAAUAUAAGAGCAAAAACUAUGAAAUUUCUAGAAGAAGACAGAAAAAAAAUUAUGACUUUGGCUUAGUUGUUUCUUAGAAGUAACAGGAAAAGCAUAAUUCAUAAAAGAUAAAUUGAAAAAUCGGACGUCAUCAAAAUAAAAAAUGGUUUAUCUUCAAAGUCACCUGUUAAGAAAAUGAGAAGACAAAUCAUAAAGCAGGGAGAAAUUUUUGAAAGUCAUGUAUCUGAUAAGGGACAGUUAAAACUAAAUAAAAACACAAACCAUCCAAUUAAAAUGAAUAAAGGGUUCGAAUAGGUAUGUCAUCAGAGAUCAUAUAGGAAUAACCAAUAAGCAAACAAAAGAUGUUCAAUAUCAUUAGUUAUUAGAGAAACAAAAUUUAAAAACCACAAUGAGAUGACACUACACAUUUGCCAGAAUGAUGAUUAUUAAAAAAGACCAAGUAUUGGAGAGGAUGUGAAAAAACUGGAACCUCACACAUUGACGAUAGAAAUGUAAAAUGAAAUAGCCAAUUCAGAAAACAUUUUACAAGUUUUCUUUGUUUUUGUUUUUAAUUUAUUAUACCCUUACCCUAUGACUCAGUAAUUCCACUUCUAGAUACCUACCAAAUAAAAUUAAAGUUUAUAACUUCACAAAGA
ensembl:lncRNA PTENP1 phosphatase and tensin homolog pseudogene 1